CCCCAGCUGACGAGUUACAAAUAGGAUGAAACGCGCGUCCUGGAU
rnacentral:hammerhead_ribozyme from 1 species